rnacentral:rRNA from 1 species
CGGCCACCGCUAUUGGAAUACGACUAAGACAUGCGAGUCGAGAGACAUCUGGUCUCGGCGAACCGCUCAGUAACACGUGGAUAACAUGCCCUAAGGUGGGGGAUAAUCUCGGGAAACUGAGGAUAAUACCCCAUAGGUCUUCUCUGCUGGAAUGCUUGAAGGCCGAAAACUCCGGUGCCUUAGGAUUGGUCUGCGGCCUAUCAGGUUGUAGUGGGUGUAAUGGACCCACUAGCCCGUGACGGGUAUGGGCCUUGAGAGAGGGAGCCCAGAGAUGGACUCUGAGACAUGAGUCCAGGCCCUACGGGGCGCAGCAGUCGCGAAAACUUCGCAAUGGGGGCAACCCCGACGAGGGAAUUCCAAGUGCCAGCACUUUGUGUUGGCUGUUCUCCUGUCUAAAAAACAGGAGGAGUAAGGGGCGGGUAUGACGGGUGCCAGCCGCCGCGGUAAUACCCGCGCCCCUAGUGGUGGUCGAUAUUAUUGAGCCUAAAACGUCCGUAGCCGGUCUUUUAAAUCUUUGGGCAAAUCGGGCAGCUUAACUGUCC